rnacentral:lncRNA from 1 species
GGGCCUAGGCUAGUUUCGAUGGUUAUACCCUUUCGUAUGAUAAUUUAAAAUAUAGAUUCAAGUCUUCAUCAACUUUACCUCUCUAUAAAAAACUUGAGUUUCAAUAAUCAAAGUAUGGACAGGUCUCCCUCCUUUUUUAAAGUAAAAAAUAUUAUGACAUUGACAAUGGAAGGAUCUUAGGACCUCUAAUAAGAUGUGGUCUUUUUUUUUCAGGUAU